GACGAACGCUGGCGGCGUGCUUAAUACAUGCAAGUAGAACGCAGUUGCGAACGGGUGAGUAACGAGUAGGUAACCUGCCUCAUAGCGGGGGAUAACUAAUGGAAACGAUAGCUAAUACCGCAUACAGCGAGAUGGACCUGCGUUGUGUUGGCUAGUUGGUGAGGUAAAGGCUCACCAAGGCGACGAUACACAGCCGGCCUGAGGGGGUGAUCGGCCACACUGGGACAGGGAGACGGCCCAAACUCCUACGGGAGGCAGCAGGAGGGAAUCUUCGGCGAUGGACGGAAGUCUGACCGAGCAACGCCGCGUGAGUCAAGUCGGUUUUCGUAUCGUAAAGCUCUGUUGUUAGAGGAGAGGUAACUAACCAGAAAGGGACGGCUAACUACGUGCCCGCAGCCGCGGUAAUUC
rnacentral:rRNA from 1 species